UAGGGAAUCUUCGGCAAUGGACGAAAGUCUGACCGAGCAACGCCGCGUGAGUGAAGAAGGUUUUCGGAUCGUAAAACUCUGUUGUUAGAGAAGAACAAGGACGUUAGUAACUGAACGUCCCCUGACGGUAUCUAACCAGAAAGCCACGGCUAACUACGUGCCAGCAGCCGCGGUAAUACGUAGGUGGCAAGCGUUGUCCGGAUUUAUUGGGCGUAAAGCGAGCGCAGGCGGUUUCUUAAGUCUGAUGUGAAAGCCCCCGGCUCAACCGGGGAGGGUCAUUGGAAACUGGGAGACUUGAGUGCAGAAGAGGAGAGUGGAAUUUCAUGUGUAGCGGUGAAAUGCGUAGAUAUAUGGAGGAACACCAGUGGCGAAGGCGGCUCUCUGGUCUGUAACUGACGCUGAGGCUCGAAAGCGUGGGGAGCAAACAGG
rnacentral:rRNA from 1 species